UGGGAAACGGUUUGAAUUUGCGGUUAUUAAAUAAUGACACUACAUUCAUACACUAUACUGUUGAGUGUGUCAGUGCAUAAGUACAUAGUGUAUAAGUUCAUAAUGUAUAGUGCGCCAUUUGGGACGCAGCUUUUGUCUUUUGGUGUUGGAGUGGAGCAGAAGGAGACUCAGAAGGGGAACGGUGGAGAUAUACUUGAAAACCUGGAGCUCAGGAAGCAGAUUUUAAUGGACCACAUGGAGGAAAAGCGAAUCACACACCUCAGCAACGACUGGAAAUUGAUGGUCAGGAAUUUCUUUAAAAAAAAUCUGAUUGACGGGUGCAUGGGUGGACGUUCUUCCAAGAUACAGGAGUGGUGGUUGGUAUAGAUGGUUAAUUAUGCCUUGUCUGUGUCAGGUUUUUCUUUUUCAGGUAACAGAGAGAGCAGGCAGAAGAGAGAGACUCACAAGAGCAUCGGUGGAGAACAGCACGUAGGGUUUGGUUUGGGCUGUCUUUGUCUUUUGCAGGUUCGGAGUGGAGCAGAAGAGGGAGACUCGCAAGCACAAUGAUUAGACUGGGGCAUGUGGAGAAAUGGGAAUCACACCUCAGCAAUGACUGCAAACUGAUGGUCUGGUUAGGUAUUUUUUUGAUAGAUGGGUAAAAUAUUGAAUGGCUGG